rnacentral:rRNA from 1 species
UACAGAGGUGGCAAGCGUUGUUCGGAAUUACUGGGCGUAAAGGGCGCGUAGGCGGCCUUCUAAGUCAGACGUGAAAUCCCCCGGCUUAACCUGGGAACUGCGUCUGAUACUGGGAGGCUUGAGUAUGGGAGAGGGAUGUAGAAUUCCAGGUGUAGCGGUGAAAUGCGUAGAUAUCUGGAGGAAUACCGGUGGCGAAGGCGGCAUCCUGGACCGAA